rnacentral:rRNA from 1 species
UGAGUAAUACAUCGGAACGUGUCUUCUAGUGGGGGAUAACUGCCCGAAAGGGCAGCUAAUACCGCAUGAGACCUGAGGGUGAAAGCGGGGGACCGCAAGACCUCGCGCUGGAAGAGCGGCCGAUGUCCGAUUAGCUAGUUGGUGAGGUAAAGGCUCACCAAGGCGACGAUCGGUAGCUGGUCUGAGAGGACGACCAGCCACACUGGGACUGAGACACGGCCCAG